AGCUUUGCGCAGUGGCAGUAUCGUAGCCAGUGAGGUUUAUCCAAGGUGUGAUUAUUGCCAAUCGAAAAGUCAAAAUAGGAAUUUGGAGGUCCUCAAGGGGCUCAAAUUAUGUUCCUUUGAAAUGUUGAGUUUGAGGAAUAAA